rnacentral:misc_RNA from 1 species
UUAUUUAUUUAUUUAUUUUUCUCUCUUUCUUCUCUUUUCUUUUAUUUUUUUCAUCAUUUUCUUUAUUCUUACAUAUUUUAUCCAUUAUCUUUUCCUUUUUAACAUAUUUUCUUCAUCAUUUUUUUUCUUUCUCAUCUAUUUUUCUUCAUCAUUUUUUUUCUCAUCUAUUUUCUUCUUCAUCUUUUUUUUUUUUCCACGAAAGGAACAAAAGAAAAAGCUAUUAUCUUUUAAGAUGAUGGAAUUGUAGGAUUCUUCAUAAAAAAACUAGGGGAGAGAGUUCAAGAAAAUCUUUCAACUAUAUGAUCCUCAAUACUUCCAGAAUAUCUGUUUUGAGUUUUCCAUCAGACUUCCCAUUCCUUUUGUAGAAGCCCACACUGGGCAUCCUUUCAGAUAUUCUGUUUGAUUCUAAAUCCUCCUGAAAUAUAUUUUCAACCAUCCGUUUUAUGUUUUCCCAUUGUUUGGCUUCCAAUCCUCACUCGGUCCUCACUUUAAUGUUGAGAUCAAAAUAGGGCCAAGUGAUGAAAAUUAUUUAAAAAACUUCCAGUCAUCUAUUCCUAUAUCCACAAAGUGCUAUCUAAUUAGAAAUCAAUCCCAAGAACUAGAGUCUUUCCCCUCACUUCAUUAUUUUCCCUUCCAGCAGUGAAAUUAACAUUCAAGAAAAAAAAGGCGUCAAAGAUGUAUUUUAAAAUGGAAAGUGAAGCAUUGAUCUAAAAGUCAUAAUUUUGCAAAAGUUCACGCAUAAGUUACCAUAAGCCUGGGCGUGGUCCGAUUCUGGCCCCAAGUGCUGAGGACUUUGGACCAGACCAAAGGGUAUCCCUCGGCUAUAGUUCAAUUCCAGUUUCAUUCAUCUUGUUUGAUCAAAUUUGAUGGUCAAAAUUUUUUUAAUUUUCUAUCUUUUUCAAACGUGAAAAAUCCAGUUUGACUCGGAACCAGACCAAACCCGUCAAAACUGGUCCAGUCUGGUUUCGGUCCAGUUCAAAACAGUCUGGGUCAAAUCUGGGUGUGAACAGUUCCAGUCCAAACCUAGACCAGGCCCAUGUCUAGGUUACCAAGUAAUCAACCGAUAUGUCAUUCCCUUAAAUUCAAAGUGAAUAUUCAACAGAAGUAUAAUGUACUGCAGCUGAAAUUUGCAAAAUAAAAUGCUAAAAGGCAAUCCAAAAUUAAACUGCAUGUUUCACAGAGAAACUUACUCAAUCAAACCAGAAGAAAUAUUUGCAUAGGAGUAAAAUAGGUUAUCAAUUCGCUCCAUUUCUUUUGAAGAUGCUUUACUUGAGGCUGAACAGAUAAAGACUUACUCAGUUUCAACAACCCCAAAUUGCAUAGUAAAUGCACUCAAAAAAUGAGUGACUGUUAAUUGCAUUUGAACAAAAGUCAGAUAAUUAAAAGGCCACCACUCCCAAAUGAGAAACUUCUUUAACAGCCAAAGAAAACUUCCUCUUUCAGCUGGCAUAAAGCACGAAAAGUAAUAAACUAACCAAUUAUAGAUCAUGAACAUGUAGUUAGACACAAUCCUCAAAAAGGAUCAAACUCAUGCAGAAUGAAAUUUCAUUGGAUGAACAAGUUUCUUGUUUGCAUGCUUGUGAGAUCUAAUAAGAUAUGCAAACCCAACAUUUCAUGAGUGCAUCAGAUUUCAGACCACAAAUCACCAACACAUAGAAAAGAAAAAGAACAAAAAAAGAACUAUAUAUUACCUUAAUAAAAGGGACAGAUCAAAAGUCAAAGGUUCAAUCUGAAAAUUGGCUGCAAUUAUCAGAUUUCAAUAGUUCAAGUUUUCAACAACCGUCUUAGGAAGGACUUAAAGUCCAGAAUUUGCAGUCAACUUUGUACCAGAUCAAAUGAAGUAGCAAAGAAACUAUAUGGUAUGAUUAAGCAUGUGAACACAAUAGGGAGCGGGAACUGUUUAACCAGCACUCAUGUAGGAAAAGUAAAGAACCCCAUCAUAAGUACUGUCUUCAUGCUUCAAUUGACUGUUCAAUUUUUUAUUAUUUUUCAAGGCAAAAAGAAAAUCUAUUAAAGCAACCAUAAAAGCCCAUCUACUAGUGGAGUCAAAGUUUUCACUAGCCUAAGAAUUCCCAAUCGAAAAGAGCAUAUAUUCUUUUCUCUUCCACUCUUUUGCACCAUUAGCUACUCCCUUCUAAUUUCCCAGUUCCUAUUAGCAUGAUCAACACUCCAACACAAAUACUUUGUUGCCAAACGGACAGAGGAUAUUUUCUAUUUGCGCAUAACUUAUCUGUUAUCUCCACCAAACUUGCGCUUUAGCUCAAGCAGUAAAAUAACUCAGAUGGAGUUAGAUUAGUCCCUAAAUUCAACUGGGAAGUUAUCAUUAACAUGAUCAGGUAUACUUGUUCAUUGUUUUGAUGUAGA